GUGUAAAGGCACAAGGGAGCUUGACUGCGAGACCUACAAGUCGAGCAGGGACGAAAGUCGGGCUUAGUGAUCCGGUGGUUCCGCAUGGAAGGGCCAUCGCUCAACGGAUAAAAGCUACCCCGGGGAUAACAGGCUUAUCUCCCCCAAGAGUCCACAUCGACGGGGAGGUUUGGCACCUCGAUGUCGGCUCAUCGCAUCCUGGGGCUGUAGUCGGUCCCAAGGGUUGGGCUGUUCGCCCAUUAAAGCGGUACGCGAGCUGGGUUCAGAACGUCGUGAGACAGUUCGGUCCCUAUCCGUCGCGGGCGCAGGAAAUUUGAGAGGAGCUGUCCUUAGUACGAGAGGACCGGGAUGGACGCACCGCUGGUGUACCAGUUGUUCUGCCAAGGGCAUCGCUGGGUAGCUAUGUGCGGACGGGAUAAGUGCUGAAAGCAUCUAAGCAUGAAGCCCCCCUCAAGAUGAGAUUUCCCAUUCCGCAAGGAAGUAAGAUCCCUGAAAGAUGAUCAGGUUGAUAGGUCUGAGGUGGAAGUGUGGCGACACAUGGAGCUGACAGAUACUAAUCGAUCGAGGACUUAACCAAUUU
rnacentral:rRNA from 1 species